rnacentral:lncRNA from 10 species
AAUCAUAGCUAUGUAGACAUAACAUAAAGCAGCUCAUCACCUGGCUCUCAGCCACUAUUGUUUGUGAGGUGUAUAAAUAUAACACUGAUACUGUGAAAGAGCUGCUGAAUAAAGCCGUGUCUCAUCUACCUGCUGUCUCCCAAGUGUUCUUCCAGCUCCCUGCCCCUCAUCAACCCACUCUCCUCAGACCUCAGCUGGGGCUUGAACCUGAUAAUUGGUGUAGUCAUCAGGAUGAGGUGAGUGGGUCUUCAGCCCCUGAGGCUCCCAGCUGUACCCUUCAUCACGAAUUUGAUGGACUGCUUGACAAUGGAACUGGAAGAGUACCACUUUGUGGUGGACUUAGCUAAUGCAGUCUUCUCCAUUGACAUUGCUCCAGAGAGCCAGGAGAAGUUUGUCUUCACGUGGGAAGGAUGACAAUGGACUUUCACCAUGCUGCCACAGGGCUGUGUGCAUAGCCCCACCAUUUGUCCUGGUCUUGUUGCCAUGGAUUUAGCUGCCUGGAAAUGCCCAAAAGGGGUCUGCCUGUUUCAUUACAUUGAUGAUAUGUUAACCUCUGAUUCUCUCACAGAUUUAGAAGUGGUGGUGCCCCUCUUGUGACAGCAUUUGGCAGUGUGCAGUUGGGCCAUCAAUAAAUCCAAGGUCCAAGGGCCGGAAUUGUCUGCCAAAUUCUUGGGAGUUAUUUGCUCAGGUUCUGAUUCCGAUUCUCCAAUGUUGCUGGUUGGGAGGCCGUACUUUAAGAGUGAAGACCGUGGAGUCCCGAGUCUGGGCACCGAUAGAAAAGAAUCACCUGAUUUCCUUGUCCGCAAUCCCUGGGAGACACUCUUCAGGGUCUGACUGAAUGGAAAAGGAAGCAGGGAAUCCGGUCCAACGUUAAUGUCACCGCCCUCACUGCCCUCUUCAAUUUGAACAUGGUAUUUCUGGCAGUAGCCACCAGAGGGUGCUAAAGAACCUCCUUGAAACGGCUGCAGAGCCCUGUGAGGUUACCAGACUGUUUCCACAAGACCUGUCCUGGGCUGGUCUUGGGGUUUGUGGGGAGGACAGUUUGUUCAGGAGUGGAUGAGGAACAGAAGGGCCCCGAGACCACAGGUUGUGUCAGAGACAGAGCUGAGGCCCUCGCUGGGACUACCACUCAGAGAUAAGCACAAGAAUCAGGCCAAGGAGGCAUCAUUUGGGAUCCUCAUUCCUCUUGCCCCCCUUUGAGGGCAAAGGGUGUUAGUAUACUUAAGGAUGUUGUCCACUUAAUAGAGAGAAAGGGCUAGAUCAGGGAUUUUCCCCUGGGGCUUCCAGCCCCACUCAAGUUAAGGGAUAUAUUGAGAUAUUUAUUUGAUCUUUAGAUUUCAAAGGGAGAGGCUGUUAUCCAGAUUUAAAAAAAAAAUGCUUGAAAAUAAAAUUGAUUGCCUGCCAUAAGAUAAGCAAUUUUUUCAAUAGUAGAAUAUGUGAUAAAAAUACACAUCUUUAGCCUUCAUUAACUUUUAUUAAAAAUUAUAACAAUUCAUAUUUGGCAUAGCCAUCAGUUGUACAUGUAAAGUAAUAAAUGAGAUCAUGGUAUUUGGAGUCGGUCUGUGGGAUUCAAAUAUCAGAACUGACAUUCAUUAGCUGGGUGAUACUGGGCAAAUUCAUUUACCUCUCUGAACCUUAGUUUCCUCAUCUAACCUCUUCUGAAUGGAUUUGGCCAAUGAUGGGAGUCAGGGGGAUGGAAAGCAUGAAUAGGAAAUUGUAAGGUGGGAGGAUGUAGAGGUAGAGACACUUAUUUCCUCCAAGCCCUGUUCACACUCAGUUCUGUUCAUGGCUGAUGACUUGCUCGAUUUGAUAAUGAAUUUAAUAAUGUCAGCACUCUCGGAUGCACAAUAGUAGUUAUAAAAAUGUGGUUAGGUCCUACUCUCUCCUAGAUAAUAUGGUAAAAAAAUUAUUUCCGGCCGG